ACGUGAUUUUUAAGAGUAAUGGAAAAGCACAUAAGUAACGUGAAAAUUAACGCAGGAAUUCCAAAUUCCCCACCAUUUUACGAACCUCCGUUGAGAAAAACUAGCGCGGAAAUUAUAAACGAAGCUAAAGCUAUAUUAACAGGAACUUCUAAGAUGGAUUCUUGUACGGGAACAAAUGUGAGACCUCUCUAUACGGAAAGACCAUUUACUCCCAAGGAAAAGGACAGAAUAUUCUUUGGAAAAAAGACCCGGAAAAAUAACAGACCCCCAAGUUCGUUUAGUUUGCGGUAUUUACAAGACCAAACGGAAUUAAUUAUGCCGGCGACUGUAGUGGAAUGUAACACAGAAAUGGAAACGGAGAACAUUCUUAUGAAAGCAGACAGAAGAAAUUUCGUAAAUAAUAAUAAUAAUAUUUACGACAUGUCAAAGUUUAACGAGAACAAAAUUUUUAACUUGGAAGUGAAAGAGUUUUUCCCUCAAAAACUUAAACUGCCGGCUCUGGAAUCGAUAAGGACAACUCCAAAAACGAAGAAAAAUUAUAAAUCGCUUAUCUCUUUCGAAACAGUUUCAGAUGCAAAUUCUAAUUACAGAUCUGGAGAAAAACAAAAUGAUGAGUACAAGCGUAACGCUUUUAGUUCUCCACAGGAAAGGACCAAUUUUUCAGAUAAUCGAUCUGAAGGGUCUUUUAGCAAAAUGUCGAGACAAAACAGCAUAUCGACAUGCCUAACAUUGCAGCCGCGAAAUUUAGAUAAGCUUUUUGGAAAUAAACAGAUAAUAGAAAAUUCGGAAACUCUUUUUGAAAAAACAGGUUAUUUCAACUUUAGUAAAAAGCCGUCCUUUAGUAGUAAAAAUACAAAAUCGAUUUCUAUAGAACCACUGGAGCCGUUCAAAAAUCUUUCGGUACAAGAGCUGUUAGAUGUGUUAAAUUGCGAAGAACAGCAAAACAAUGAAAACCAUGAAUAUACCGUAAAACUCCUCAAAAUUUUAUAUCAAUGUUUGCAAGAAGAACAAUUGUCAAAUAAUAAAAUUAGUUCUACACUUAAAAUAACAAUUUUAAAAUGCCUGUACAGAUACGUCGAGGCGGAAAAUCAAAAGUUGUUAAUAAAUGUAGCAAAAAUACUGUUAUUGUUGAAGGUAACGGGAAAUAAUCUUAGUGGUGUUUGUAAACUGAUCUUCAAGGUUUCCAAAAAUGUCGACAACGAUUUAUUGUUUCUGGAAGAGAAAAUUCUCGAUCUAUUUUUGGAUGCUCUGGGUCGUUCCAGUCCUUUAGAAGACGCCGAAGCUUGUAUAUAUGGAUACGGUGCUAUUAAAUUUUUGACAACCAAUUUGGAAAUCGUAGAAAACUUACUGAAUCUCGGCAUUCUUCCACUUAUAGUCCUUCAUAUGAAAAUAAUUAAUAACGCAAAAGUUGAGAACAACCGAAACCAGGAUCAGAUAAACAACGUGCUAUUUCAAAUAACGGGCGCUCUAAGGAACCUGGCAUCAAAUGAAGCAAACUGUGAAAAUUUUAUUACCACCGGUGCUAUUACGCAGUUGUGCACUAGUUUAAAAUUAUUUUUAAAUGAUUUUGAUAUCAUAAGCACCACUUCUCGUAACCUAAGUUGUCUGUCAAGCCUGGAUAAAUGUUGCAACGAAAUAUCUGAAUGUGAUCACCUCUACGCAACGGCAAUCGAAAUAUUAGAGAAAUAUGCUGGAAACGAAGAAAUAAUAGUUCGUGUAGCUUAUACAUUGGGAAACACAGUCGCCAGAAAUGAUUCAGCUAGAACUAAACUAUACAGAGUGAAAAACUGUACGAGAGUUCUGAUAAAACUGUGGAGAUUGUACUUGGAGUUGACGUUAAAACGGUGCUCAAUGAAAUGCGAUACCAGAGAAGCAGGGGAAAAUUAUACCGUAGACGUAAUGAUAAAGAUUAUCCGCAUUAUUGCCAACCUAUCGAUGAAUGCGACUAUUGGAAAAGAUAUCAGUAAAAAUUUUGGCGUUCAACUUAUUGACGAACUUCUAAAAGUUUUAAUAAGCAAUCCGUUUAAGAGAAAUGACGACCUAGUUUUGUCUGUCCUUACAACAUUAAAUAAUAUUUCCUACUAUUAUAUAGAUAUAGAAGAAGAUGUAUUUUAUACAAAAGAAGUUGAAAUUAUGGAUGCUUUACGUGAAUAUAUAACCGGCAAGAAUAAAGAAAACAAAUUGGAAGCUAUGCGAACUCUAGGCAACUUAUCAAGAUCUAAAAUAACAAGAAGUUAUAUUGUAAGAAACGGAAUAAUGGAUAUUCUGACGGAAUAUUUAUGCGAGGAUGAUCGUGAACUGUUAGAAACAACGAUUGGAGUUUUUGUGAAUUUAAUGUCGGAUUCACCAGGAAAGGAAGCGUUUCGAAAAAAGGACGGGGUAACAAAAUUAACGGAAAUUUUAAGGAAACAUGGCCAACAGGAUUGGAAUUUAAGCACUUUAGUUUGCCAAACUAUUUGGAAUUAUUGCAUUGAUGUUACUAAUUUUUACGACUUCAUGUCAGACAAUGAAUUGGAAACGUUAAUGACUCUACUGGCAGACCGAUUAGAGUCAUUAAAGUUCCGCCAGAAAAAUAGUGGAAAGAAUAUAAACAAAUGGAAUGGUCGAUAAUUUUGCUUUUGUUUUUCUUCAGGUUAGAACAUCGUCCAGUUUAUUAAGCUUUUACUGUGCAGACUAAAUUAAGAAAAUGUAGGAUUGUCUCGGAGGAAUACUAUUGAGAUUCUGGCUGCCAUGCUGUGUUGGGCAUUAGCCGUAGCAGUUCUCCUUCACUCUAGAAAAUAGAAGAACUUGAAGAAAUGUGAAAAUGCCUUUUUCAUUGUUGGAAGCAGAGCAUGGUGUUAUUCUUAGAGGAAGGAUUUUUAACAUUAAAUCAGUUGACUAAAAAUUUAUUUCAAUUCUUCAAAGCCUCUUUAACGAUCUAUACCUCCUCCAUUUAGUUUUUCUUACCUUCCUGUGAUGUUGAGACUACGAUGUUGUUAUUUCAAAAUUAUUCCUUCCAAAUCAUAGACACUACAAAA